GCAGUGAUCAGGACCAACUGGGGAAACGUGACCGUCCCCAUCACUGCUGCAGUGGCUGUUCUUGCUCUCAUAUUCAUCAGUGCCACUGCAUUCAUUGUUUACAAAAGGAAGAAAGCCAAAAGUCCCCUGCCUC